UUGUACAAUGGAGGUGCAAGGGCUGUUGCUGACCUUUAAAAGGCUUGUGCACGCCCAAGUACUACUCUCUUACACAUCCAUCUCACCCCUCUGUGCAUCACCGCGUGGGUCCCCCCUUUACGGGGAGGGCUCACGUCUUCACAUGAAACUUUAAUACAGUAUAGAAUGCAUUCUUUUGUUUGUUUGCGGUAACACGCAAUAAAUA
rnacentral:misc_RNA from 1 species